CCUUUGUUUGACUGGCUUUGCUGGAUGGCCGUUCUCCGCGCUUAUUCUGUUUUCAUGACGUAAAUGCAGUAAUCUCUCUUUCUCCCCACGUGUUUCAGCAGGAGGGUUUCCAGGCUUUAUAAAGAAUGAGCUGCGGAUGCUGCAGAGAAGCGUGUACGAUCUGAAGGGAGAACUGCAGUCAUGAUGAAUGCACAUGCCGUUGUCCUCAGAGAUACCAAACUACUUCAUGGAGGACGAAGUGUGGCUGGUUUAAGGAAUGAUGUUGUUCCUGCUUCAGCUGGAAGUGUGCCUAGAAGUCAUCUGCAGCACAAGCAAUGCUAAACCGGCUAUCCCAUGUCAUGUGACCCCGCUGGCCUGAACACGCUGGGAUAACAAGAGGCCCCUGACACCACCACGGGACUGAGACCCAACACUAUAUAUAGCACAGAUGAGGGCUGAAGGUACAUCUCCAAAUACACCAGCUCUCUGGCCUCAAGAUUCCAUUAGUGAUCUGAUUUGGCCUACAUACACAUGUUCAUUCAGAGCUGGACUGAAGAUGGAGGAGAGCUGAUGUCCUGUGCUGGAUCUGUCCUGCUCCUGGUUUCGUUACUAAAAUCUCUGUUCACUUCGACAGACUGAGUGACCCAGUGGACAUCCUUCACCCAGAGCA